rfam:Brachypodium distachyon strain Bd21 chromosome 5, whole genome shotgun sequence.
AUAGUACUCCCUCCGUUCAGUAUUAAGUGUUGCAAUUUUGUCUAGAUAUGCAUGUAUCUAAACGCAUUUUAAUGUGUUGGUACAUUCGUAUCUAGACAAAAUUACGAUACUUAAUAUCUGACGGAGAGAGUAUAAG